rnacentral:lncRNA from 1 species
GGGUGGCGCGGACCUCGGGUCCCCAGCCAUCGGCGCUCUCCCGGGGCCCUCUGACCUCGCUCCUUAAAGGAGGAGGGUCCGUGGCAACGGUCCUCCUCGGCCAGGCGCUCUCGGGACGCGGGGGUGAGGAGUGAGCGCCGUGGCCCACCCUACUCUCCGAGCGGGGACGGAGUGGGCGACACCGCGCGCCCGGCUGCACGCAGGCUCUGCGCGGCUCGAGGCGGCCCUACAGGGGGCGAGGAGGAACCCCGGAGACUCGGCGGAGAGAGCAGAGACGGAGCUCACCAAGGGGCUUGCCGCCGCAGAGCGCGGGAGCCGGCACUCGGGGUACUUAACCGAAACUAGCAAUCCCAGGCGGUACAAGGCCCUCCAUCGUAGGCAAAGCACUACCUGAAUGUAGAUUUGGGCCAUACGUUGGAAAAUAAGACAUGAGAGUAUGCUCCGAUCAACUUUUACUGUUCACUGGACAACUAUUUUGGGAAUUUGCAGACCUAUAAAGCCCAUCUAUAAAUCUCAAGCAUGUCCACUUUCAGAGAAGAGAAAUGCUGACAACCAUUUAGUCUCUGAGGACAACACUUUUAAAGUGUAACAAUGUGGCAUCCAGAGCUUAUCCAGAUGAGCGGAGAGCAAAUGAAUUUCCUUCUGCUCCCCUGUUGAAGAGGAGAGAAAAAUUCUUCAAGCUUUAUACAGGACUCCAUCAUAGGACUGGAGAGAGAUUGGAUGUCAGAGUGAUUGAUGUGCUCCUACUGGAAGAAGGCAAACAUCCAUAUGUGAACUGCCUGUGGGGUUUCCAAGGAAAGGAACGGCAGGCAGCCUCUAUGAGCUUAAAGAAGAUAACUGGGACUUUAGUCCU